AUGAAUGGGCGGGCCUUGAUCCCACGAAAAAUUA
rnacentral:tRNA from 1 species